rnacentral:rRNA from 1 species
GUAGGGAAUAUUGCGCAAUGGGGGAAACCCUGACGCAGCAACGCCGCGUGGAUGAUGAAGCUCUUUGGAGUGUAAAAUCCUGUCGCCAGGGAAGAAACGGCGGACGAGGAAAUGCGUCCGUCCUGACGGUACCUGGAGAGGAAGUUCCGGCUAACUCCGUGCCAGCAGCCGCGGUAACACGGGGGGAACUAGCGUUGUUCGGAUUUACUGGGCGUAAAGGGUGCGUAGGCGGGUUGGCAAGUCGGGUGUGAAAUUCCAGGGCUUAACCCUGGGUCUGCAUUCGAAACUGUCGGUCUUGAGUACUGGAGAGGUGAGUGGAAUUCUCGGUGUAGCGGUGAAAUGCGUAGAUAUCGAGAGGAACACCGUUGGCGAAGGCGGCUCACUGGACAGAUACUGACGCUGAGGCACGAAGGUCGGGGGAGCAAACAGGAUUAGAAACCCGGGUAGUCC